rnacentral:rRNA from 1 species
UUCCGGUUGAUCCUGCCGGACCUGACUGCUAUCGGAUUGAUACUAAGCCAUGCUAGUCUUUGCAGUAAUGCAAGGCAUACGGCUCAGUAACACGUAGUCAACUUACCCUAUGGACGAGGAUAAUCUCGGGAAACUGAGCAUAAUACUCGAUAGAUCAUAAUGCCUGGAAUGGUUAUGGUUAAAAUGAUUCGUCGCCAUAGGAUGGGACUGCGGCCUAUCAGCUUGUUGGUGAGGUAAUGGCCCACCAAGGCGAUUACAGGUACGGGCUCUGAGAGGAGAAGCCCGGAGAUGGGUACUGAGACAAGGACCCAGGCCCUAUGGGGCGCAGCAGGCGAGAAAACUUUGCAAUGUGCGAAAGCACGACAAGGUUAAUCCGAGUGAUUUCUGCUAAAGAAAUCUUUUGCAAGUCAUAAAACCACUAGUGAAUAAGGGGUGGGCAAGUUCUGGUGUCAGCCGCCGCGGUAAAACCAGCACCUCAAGUGGUCAGGAGGAUUAUUGGGCCUAAAGCAUCCGUAGCCGGCUCUGUAAGUUUUCGGUUAAAUCCAUGUGCUCAACGCAUGGGCUGCCGAAAAUACUGCAUAGCUAGGGAGUGGGAGAGGUAGACGGUACUCGGUAGGAAGGGGUAAAAUCCUUUGAUCUAUCGAUGACCACCUGUGGCGAAGGCGGUCUACCAGAACACGUUCGACGGUGAGGGAUGAAAGCUGGGGGAGCAAACCGGAUUAGAUACCCGGGUAGUCCCAGCUGUAAACGAUGCAGACUCGAUGAUGCAUUGGCAUAUAGCCAGUGCAGUGUCGCAGGGAAGCCGUUAAGUCUGCCGCCUGGGAAGUACGUACGCAAGUAUGAAACUUAAAGGAAUUGGCGGGGGAGCACCACAAGGGGUGAAGCCUGCGGUUCAAUUGGAGUCAACGCCGGG